AAGACGAACCGUCCUAACGUUGUUCGGAUUCACUGGGCUUAAAGGGCGCGUAGGCGGGUGAGCAAGUCCGGGGUGAAAUCUUUCGGCUUAACCGGAAAAUGGCCUUGGAUACUGCUUGUCUAGAGGGAGGUAGGGGUGUGUGGAACUUCCGGUGGAGCGGUGAAAUGCGUUGAUAUCGGAAGGAACGCCGGUGGCGAAAGCGACGCACUGGACCUCUUCUGACGCUGAGGCGCGAAAGCUAGGGUAGCGAACGGGA
rnacentral:rRNA from 1 species